GAGGUUUCAUCGAAUUUUUUGAUGAUUGUUUUUUGAGAUUUUUGUGUUCCUUUUGUUUCGACGGAUUUUUUGUGGAUGGUUAGUGACAUCUUUGGGGUUAUAACUCGCGGACCGUUAUCUAUAUACCCCUAGUAUCUUACCCCUUAAAACAUACCCUUUCUAACUUAAUUUAUACCCUCAAUCUCUCCGUAUUAUUUCAUUUCUCGUUUUCUCCCGUCUCUCUCUCUUUCUCUCCCUAGAAACCUUCCAAAAUCACCCAGAAAACAAUUGAAAUUUUCGAAAGAAAAUCUUAAAAAUCAGAUUUAGGAUUUAUUGUUGAUAGAUCGGAGAGAUUUACAAGAUUGAUUGACACAUAAAAGAUCAGAUAAAAUCAAAAAUUUAAUCGAAACUAGGUUUAAUCUCCGCUUUACUGUCAAUUUUCGAUUGAAGAUACAAAAUCGAAGUUGAACUCGAGAUUGACGAUUCAUCUCUGAAAGAGGGAAAUCACCGGAAGCAAAGGGCAAAGCAACCAAAUAUGUCGAUAAUCUUUCCGUCGAAAAAGCUAUAGCCGUUAUGAAGACGUGUGUUUGUAUAUAAAGAUGCUGAGUUGCAGCCGUCUAAUGGAAGUGAGUCACGAAAAAGGUGUUGCUAUAAAGUAAACUAGAAAUGGAUCAAGACGGUGUUCCGCGUCUUGAAUACAAUAGACGGUUGAAGCUUCAGAAAGAAAAAGAUAUGAGUUUGGAUGACAGAUAGAUUGUAAAUUUACAGAUAUAAUUGUUAGUGUUGGUUAUAAUAUUACUGAAUAGAUUUUAACGUGAAUGACUAAAUAGUUGGAUGUAAACAUAAAUUUUAGCACGAAUGACUAAUGGUUUAAUAGAUAAAAUAUUAUUUU